GCGAGAAACGACCGAGAUGUCGAAUUUGUGGCGCCUCCUCCCCCUUCAACUCUUUUUAUUCUUCUUCGUUCUUCUCUUCCUCCUUCCUCCUCCGUUUCCAUCUUCGUCUUCGACUUGGACUUAUUCUUCAUCUUAAAUAUUCUUACGUGCUUGGCGUAUUCGCGCGUUCACACGAUGCGUACCCCGCCGGUCUCGCUCCGUCUCCUGUCCUGACCUGCCUAUGUGCCACGCGGACCGAGACCGUACCGAGGACGGCGGUGCGACCACGACGAGAUUAUUUUACCGGGGCGAGAGCGCACCGAUUGCGAGGAUGGCCCUUGGGCUCCGUUUUUCUUUUUCCUCCUUUUUGUGCAGUGCGCGAGUGCCGAACGAACAGGCUGGAGGCACUCGAUUACGGAAAAAGCCAGUUACGUAGUGAAAGAAAAAUUUAUAAAUAAAUAAGCAUGCGCGGAAAGUGCAAAAACAUUGAGAAUCAACAGUUUAGAGAAAAAAAAAAAAAAAAUAGGAAAACGAGACCGCGCGCCGAACAAAAUAUACACAUUUUCUUCAACUAUUGUGUAAUCACCAAAAAUUCUAUAAUAAGAAAGAGUCCCGCAACAUA